GACGAACGCUGGCGGCGUGCUUAACACAUGCAAGUCGAACGGUAAGGCCCCUCGGGGUACACGAGUGGCGAACGGGUGAGUAACACGUGGGUGAUCUGCCCUGCACUUUGGGAUAAGCCUGGGAAACUGGGUCUAAUACCGGAUAGGACCAUGGACUUCACGGUUUGUGGUGGAAAGCUUUUGCGGUGUGGGAUGGGCCCGCGGCCUAUCAGCUUGUUGGUGGGGUAAUGGCCUACCAAGGCGACGACGGGUAGCCGGCCUGAGAGGGUGUCCGGCCACACUGGGACUGAGAUACGGCCCAGACUCCUACGGGAGGCAGCAGUGGGGAAUAUUGCACAAUGGGCGCAAGCCUGAUGCAGCGACGCCGCGUGGGGGAUGACGGCCUUCGGGUUGUAAACCUCUUUCAGUAGGGACGAAGCGCAAGUGACGGUACCUACAGAAGAAGCACCGGCCAACUACGUGCCAGCCGCCGCAGUAACAC
rnacentral:rRNA from 1 species